GACAGCGGGUGCAAACGUUGCUCGGAAUUACUGGGCGUAAAGCGCGUGUAGGCGGUCUCGCGAGUCGGGUGUGAAAGCCCGGGGCUCAACCCCGGACGUGCAUUCGAUACUACGAGGCUGGAGUACUGUAGAGGAGAGCGGAAUUCCCGGUGUAGAGGUGAAAUUCGUAGAUAUCGGGAGGAACACCAGUGGCGAAGGCGGCUCUCUGGACAGUGACUGACGCUGAGACGCGAAAGCGUGGGUAGCAAACAGG
rnacentral:rRNA from 1 species